UGUUUCAGAUUUACGCAACUAUAAAUUAGGUUCCAGGCUUGGCUAUCGGCAUUCUUCUGCAAACCAACAUAAGAUGGAGCCAGAGCAAGCAGACACAUAGGCCAGUGGAGAAGCCAGUUCUGAUGGCCAUCAUGAUGGAGUCGUUGCCUUCACAGCUAAACUGGCUGAUGUUUGCUAACAUCUCCUUGAACAAAGCUCGGGCCUACAACAAUGAUAGCGGCAUUUUCACCUGCCCUCGGAAGGGCUAUUACCACUUCAUGGUGCACAUGUCUGUGUAUGGCCGGGGCCAAUGUGCCAUACGAAAGAAUGGUGAGAUUGUAGCGACACUGUAUGACACCAGUCUGCCUAAUAAGUGCAGCCAAGUAUCAACUGUCAGCUGUGUUGUCGAAUUAGAGAAAAAUGAUAAUGUCUGGGUUUCUACAUACGGCCCUGGUCGAAACGACUUCUUUGCGACUGCUGAAAACGACAGCAUUUUUGUUGGAUUUCGUUUGGGAUAGUCGGUUUUCAUUUCAUUCUUUCUUAUUGCAAUCAUUGCCAAAUUUAGUAAUUUUUAGAUCAAAGUCGAAAGUAAUAUGUUUUGCCUCCUACUAGAUUCUUCUUUGUGUAAAAUGUGAACAUUGAUUGGAAACAAAUCAGGUUGUAUAUGAUCGAGAUAUUUUAGUUCUGUAAUGCUGCGGUUGAAUUAAAUGAUAAAUCUAGAUCAACCUUGAAGCCAUUAUAAUCCAGAAUUGUGAGUUUAGGCGAAUAUUUUUAUUGUAUAACAUGUAACAUUUCGUCCUUAAAAUAAAAAAUUGGCAUCGAUGAAAUCCUAUAACCUUUAUCCCUCCUAUGACCUUUACCAUCUCACAUCUGGGGAAACAUCCAAAAAAAGUAUUAGAACAUUUGAACAUUGAUCUAGCAUACUAGGAUAUGCUUCUUUAACAAGUGGCUCAUGCCAGCCACCAAGCUAAUGCAGGGUUUGCCACACAGACUUUAAUUGGGUGGGGGAUAACAUUAAGUAUCAGUCCGAGAGAACAACACCAUGCGAGAUUGAUAGUGUUUCCCAUACAUUUAAUUACUUUUUAAUGGGUAAAAUCGUGCUUCAUUGUAGAGCUGCAGGCAACACAGUCUGUAAAUAGCCCCUCCUCUCCGUGCACACAAUCAAAACAUGAUCACGAGCGGGAUGAAGGAUUAUUGUCUUUUCCCGGCAGAGGAGACAGCUGGCCAAAUCACUAAUUGAAUCAAUCCACAGUUUAAGAAAUAAAAACUUUUUUUUUGCAUACUCUUUAUUUUGUCUCGAUU